rnacentral:rRNA from 2 species
GGGUUGUGAGGUUAAGCGACUAAGCGUACACGGUGGAUGCCCUGGCAGUCAGAGGCGAUGAAGGACGUGCUAAUCUGCGAAAAGCGCCGGCGAGGUGAUAUGAACCUUUGACCCGGCGAUGUCCGAAUGGGGAAACCCAGUGUGAUUCGUCACACUAUCGUUAACUGAAUACAUAGGUUAACGAGGCGAACCGGGGGAACUGAAACAUCUAAGUACCCCGAGGAAAAGAAAUCAACCGAGAUUCCCCCAGUAGCGGCGAGCGAACGGGGAGCAGCCCAGAGUCUGAAUCAGCUUGUGUGUUAGUGGAAGCGUCUGGAAAGUCGCACGGUACAGGGUGACAGUCCCGUACACGAAAGCACACAGGUUGUGAACUCGAAGAGUAGGGCGGGACACGUGGUAUCCUGUCUGAAUAUGGGGGGACCAUCCUCCAAGGCUAAAUACUCCUGACUGACCGAUAGUGAACCAGUACCGUGAGGGAAAGGCGAAAAGAACCCCGGCGAGGGGAGUGAAAAAGAACCUGAAACCGUGUACGUACAAGCAGUGGGAGCACCUUCGUGGUGUGACUGCGUACCUUUUGUAUAAUGGGUCAGCGACUUAUAUUCUGUAGCAAGGUUAACCGUAUAGGGGAGCCGAAGGGAAACCGAGUCUUAACUGGGCGUUAAGUUGCAGGGUAUAGACCCGAAACCCGGUGAUCUAGCCAUGGGCAGGUUGAAGGUUGGGUAACACUAACUGGAGGACCGAACCGACUAAUGUUGAAAAAUUAGCGGAUGACUUGUGGCUGGGGGUGAAAGGCCAAUCAAACCGGGAGAUAGCUGGUUCUCCCCGAAAGCUAUUUAGGUAGCGCCUCGUGAACUCAUCUUCGGGGGUAGAGCACUGUUUCGGCUAGGGGGCCAUCCCGGCUUACCAACCCGAUGCAAACUACGAAUACCGAAGAAUGUUAUCACGGGAGACACACGGCGGGUGCUAACGUCCGUCGUGAAGAGGGAAACAACCCAGACCGCCAGCUAAGGUCCCAAAGUCAUGGUUAAGUGGGAAACGAUGUGGGAAGGCACAGACAGCCAGGAUGUUGGCUUAGAAGCAGCCAUCAUUUAAAGAAAGCGUAAUAGCUCACUGGUCGAGUCGGCCUGCGCGGAAGAUGUAACGGGGCUAAACCAUGCACCGAAGCUGCGGCAGCGACGCUUAUGCGUUGUUGGGUAGGGGAGCGUUCUGUAAGCCGUUGAAGGUGGCCUGUGAGGGUUGCUGGAGGUAUCAGAAGUGCGAAUGCUGACAUAAGUAACGAUAAAGCGGGUGAAAAGCCCGCUCGCCGGAAGACCAAGGGUUCCUGUCCAACGUUAAUCGGGGCAGGGUGAGUCGACCCCUAAGGCGAGGCCGAAAGGCGUAGUCGAUGGGAAACAGGUUAAUAUUCCUGUACUUGGUGUUACUGCGAAGGGGGGACGGAGAAGGCUAUGUUAGCCGGGCGACGGUUGUCCCGGUUUAAGCAUGUAGGCGGAACGAUUAGGUAAAUCCGGUCGUUUUUUAACGCUGAGGUGUGAUGACGAGGCACUACGGUGCUGAAGUAACAAAUGCCCUGCUUCCAGGAAAAGCCUCUAAGCAUCAGGUAACAUCAAAUCGUACCCCAAACCGACACAGGUGGUCAGGUAGAGAAUACCAAGGCGCUUGAGAGAACUCGGGUGAAGGAACUAGGCAAAAUGGUGCCGUAACUUCGGGAGAAGGCACGCUGAUAUGUAGGUGAAGCCCCUGCGGGUGGAGCUGAAAUCAGUCGAAGAUACCAGCUGGCUGCAACUGUUUAUUAAAAACACAGCACUGUGCAAACACGAAAGUGGACGUAUACGGUGUGACGCCUGCCCGGUGCCGGAAGGUUAAUUGAUGGGGUUAGCGGUAACGCGAAGCUCUUGAUCGAAGCCCCGGUAAACGGCGGCCGUAACUAUAACGGUCCUAAGGUAGCGAAAUUCCUUGUCGGGUAAGUUCCGACCUGCACGAAUGGCGUAAUGAUGGCCAGGCUGUCUCCACCCGAGACUCAGUGAAAUUGAACUCGCUGUGAAGAUGCAGUGUACCCGCGGCAAGACGGAAAGACCCCGUGAACCUUUACUAUAGCUUGACACUGAACACUGGUCCUUGAUGUGUAGGAUAGGUGGGAGGCUUUGAAGUGUGGACGCCAGUCUGCAUGGAGCCGUCCUUGAAAUACCACCCUUUAAUGGCUGGUGUUCUAACGUAGACCCGUAAUCCGGGUUGCGGACAGUGUCUGGUGGGUAGUUUGACUGGGGCGGUCUCCUCCCAAAGAGUAACGGAGGAGCACGAAGGUUAGCUAAUCCUGGUCGGACAUCAGGAGGUUAGUGCAAUGGCAUAAGCUAGCUUGACUGCGAGAGUGACGGCUCGAGCAGGUGCGAAAGCAGGUCAUAGUGAUCCGGUGGUUCUGAAUGGAAGGGCCAUCGCUCAACGGAUAAAAGGUACUCCGGGGAUAACAGGCUGAUACCGCCCAAGAGUUCAUAUCGACGGCGGUGUUUGGCACCUCGAUGUCGGCUCAUCACAUCCUGGGGCUGAAGUAGGUCCCAAGGGUAUGGCUGUUCGCCAUUUAAAGUGGUACGCGAGCUGGGUUUAGAACGUCGUGAGACAGUUCGGUCCCUAUCUGCCGUGGGCGCUGGAGAAUUGAGGGGGGCUGCUCCUAGUACGAGAGGACCGGAGUGGACGCAUCACUGGUGUUCGGGUUGUCAUGCCAAUGGCACUGCCCGGUAGCUAAAUGCGGAAAAGAUAAGUGCUGAAAGCAUCUAAGCACGAAACUUGCCCCGAGAUGAGUUCUCCCUGAGACUUUAAGUCUCCUGAAGGAACGUUAAAGACGAUGACGUUGAUAGGUCGGGUGUGUAAGCGCAGCGAUGCGUUGAGCUAACCGAUACUAAUGAACCGUGAGGCUUAACCUUACAACGCCGAAG